rnacentral:rRNA from 1 species
GGGUCCGGACACACUGAGGAUUGACAGAUAUACGCUCAUUGCAGUUCGCUGCAUGAGCUGAAAGAUGCUAGUUCUUUCAUGAUUAUGUGAUAGGUGGUGCAUGGCCGUUCUUAGUUCGUGGAGUGAUCUGUCUGCUUAAUUGCGUAUCAAUAAUAGAGACCUAGUAUACGCGUGGAUUUCGCGUGGUAGUGACCCCCUGUUUAACGACAGGCGUGUGUCGCACACGCGUACCUACGCACUGGUCUCAGAUAGCAACGAACGUGACCGUAUUCUAUUGUUGCAGUGAAAUGUGCCUUCGGGUACGACCCACUGCUUAGUAUAUGUACGCCUCGGCGCACAAUAUACAUUAAACUACAGAGACCGCUGUUUCUUCUUUAAACCAGAGGAAGGAUACGGCAAUAACAGGUCUGUGAUGCCCUCAGAUGUUCCGGGCUGCACACGUGCUACAAUGAUCAUUGCACUGUGCAUCUAACCCAAUGUGCGCGGACGCCGCAUGCAUGUGCUCUUCACGGAGUACACGCAUUGCUGUUGCGACCGCGCCGAACCUACUUCGAAAGUAAAAUUUCUCAGUGGGU